UUCUCCAUGUUGAAUCAGAAUCUCCUUUAUUGUAACUUGGAGCCAUUGGUUUGAGUCCUACCUUCCACAGCAGGAGAAGACAAGCUUCCAUGUUACAGCCCUUGAGAAAUUUGAAGAUGGCUAUCAUAUCUUCUCUCAGUCUCCUCUUUUCCAAGCUAAACAUACCCAGCUCCUUCAACC